UACGUAGGGUGCGAGCGUUGUCCGGAAUUAUUGGGCGUAAAGAGCUCGUAGGCGGUUUGUUGCGUCGGCCGUGAAAACCUGCAGCUUAACUGUGGGCCUGCGGCCGAUACGGGCAGACUUGAGUUCGGUAGGGGAGACUGGAAUUCCUGGUGUAGCGGUGAAAUGCGCAGAUAUCGGGAGGAACACCCGUAGCGAAGGCGGCACUCUGGGCCGGUACUGACGCUGAGGAGCGAAAGCGUGGGGAGCAAACAGG
rnacentral:rRNA from 1 species